rnacentral:lncRNA from 1 species
GGGUUGGGCUUAGUCAAUUCCUAUUUGAUUAAAAUUUUAUUGAGCCUAAUUAAGCCUAAUUAAGUUAGAUUUAAAUUAGUCUAAUUGGACCUAACUUAUUUGGUUUAAUUAGGUUGGUUUAAAUAAUUAAACCACCUUGACCCAAUCUCCAUGUGCCACCUCACUUCCAUUGCACCCAUUUGAAUUCAUGAGAAGGAACUUCUCAUGAAUUAUU